CCCAGGGUCCAGCUGGUCCCCGCGGUCUCCCCGGCCCUCCUGGCGCUCCUGGUCCUCAAGGUUUCCAAGGUCCCCCCGGUGAACCCGGAGAGCCUGGUGCUUCUGGUCCCAUGGGUCCCCGUGGUCCCGCCGGCCCCCCUGGCAAGAACGGAG